rnacentral:rRNA from 1 species
GAAUAGUUGUUUUCUUCUCCUGAAGAGAACUGGAAAGACGGAGCAAUCUGUCACUUGGGGAUGGGCCUGCGGCGCAUUAGCUAGUUGGUGGGGUAACGGCUCACCAAGGCGACGAUGCGUAGCCGACCUGAGAGGGUGAUCGGCCACACUGGGACUGAGACACGGCCCAGACUCCUACGGGAGGCAGCAGUAGGGAAUCUUCCGCAAUGGGCGAAAGCCUGACGGAGCAAUGCCGCGUGAGUGAUGAAGGUUUUCGGAUCGUAAAGCUCUGUUGCCAGGGAAGAACGCUUGGGAGAGUAACUGCUCUCAAGGUGACGGUACCUGAGAAGAAAGCCCCGGCUAACUACGUGCCAGCAGCCGCGGUAAUACGUAGGGGGCAAGCGUUGUCCGGAAUUAUUGGGCGUAAAGCGCGCGCAGGCGGUCAUUUAAGU